rnacentral:lncRNA from 1 species
UUUAAAAUAUAUUAUUUAGUUUAGAAACAUUAAUGUUAACAUUUUUUUAAUUUUAGUGGUCAUUUUUUUAUAAUUACUUUUUAUAAUGAUAAAAAAACACAUUAUACAUUAUCUAAAGCUGAAAUGUCUAUUUUGGAGAUGGUAAUUUUUUGGUAACAACCCAAAAGUUUAGUCAUUCCUCUUGUGAUCAUUUUUGUAUUUUUAUAAAAUUAUACUUAUUAUUAAGUAUUAUUCAUCCCUAAACAUAUUGUUGUAAUAUGUAGACACUAAAAACUUUUUUAUUUUACUUCGAUGUCUUAAGCGACAUCUGCACAAACUUUAAGGAUGACAAUUCCAAGUACAUUGACAAACACUACCGGAAAUGCAAUGGCCCUUAGCGAGAAGUCCUCUACCACUUCUGCACAACACUUCACAUAUUAUGCCUUUGCAAAAAAAAAUAUUCCAAUUGGCUUGACACUGUUCGCCAUUGAUCAUAUGUGUACCUAUAUCAUAUUAGAGUAGAAUAACAUCAAUUAACAAAUCAAUUAAGAAUCAUAAGUAAACAAGAAUUUGUAGUUUUUGUGGUAAGUCGGCGUAAUGAAAUAUAGAUAAGAUACUACUAUAAUGAGCAAUUUUUAUUAUAUAUCGUAUAAAGAUUACCAACAAUGGCGAGUAUGAUCACAAGAGCAACAUAUAGUUUGAUGGACGCCAUACCUUUUAAUUUACUGAUACUCUAUACAAUGGAGGUGUAUUGACCAAAUGGUUCAAUCAUUGUAAAUUUAUAGGAAGAAGUAAAUUGCGUACAUAUGAUGGAUUAAAACAUGUGCCAUUUAAUUCACAAUAAAUAUAUUUAGUUGGUUGUUGGUAGCCUCCAUUAAUUGUUGAAAUCUUGAAAAAGUAUUUGAUCACAUGAACGGAUGAACCUAUAUCAAUGAAAGUCAAUCAUCUAUCCCGUUACGUAAGUUUAUUACAUGUUAUGGAAAAAUCUUUACUAUUAAAGUUUUUCAAUCAUGUACAUUGAGAUUUAUUUGAAGAUGAUGAACUUUAUUGCUCUUUGUGACAACGAGAUGGAAACAUAGGAUCACAUUUUCAUUAAAAAUAUAGUUAUGAGCCUGUUUUGGGUAUUUAUGUCUAUACUAAAGAUUGAACUUUCGCCCAAACCACAAUUUAGUAUUUCUCGAAAACUGUAUCAAACACAGANGAAAACUGUAUUCAAACAUAGAAAAAUUUAACAUCAUCAAAAUUCUAUAAAAUGUAAAUGUAUUAUAUUUGAAAUGAAUAUAACUACUUAAUUUCAUUGUACUGAUUCCAUUCCCUCAAGUGUAUUGGAUGACGUAAGGUACUAAGAUGGAGGUGAUUCCAUGCCCUCAAGUGUAUGGGUUGGUGAAGAGCAAUUUGUAUAGUCUAAUAGCAGCAGAGUAAACUAACAUAUCACUUUCUAUGACUAAAUUGUUAUGGAUUUAAGCUUGUAAAAUAACAUAUCACUUUCUAUUACUAAAUUAUUAUGGAUUUAAGUUUUGCGUUUUUAUUGGCAUAAAAGCUCCACUAAUGUAAACUUUUAAAAUGAUAAUGAAAAUGCAAUUCAGACAUUAGUUAAGUUAUAAUAUUAAGGCCAUAAAUUAAAUUUUUGAUUUUAUUGGAUAUUAAGGAUAAUGUAUUAAUAUGUAGAUUUUGAUCCGGAAACUAAUGUGCAUCUCAUAAUUCAGUGACAUAUCACUACAAACAAUAAAUGAAGACAUUACUGGCGAUGCUUUUAACUUUACAUUUGAUCAUUAAUUUAGUUUCCAUGAAUUUUAAUAUACAAUAAAUUUAUUAAUUUCAAAUUUCAAUUUUAGUUUCUAAUAAAUUGCAGUUUACACCUUUUUUGUUAACAUUUUUUUAAAAUUAACCCGUUUAGAACACGAGUCUGACAACCAAAUAUGUAAUUUUAGUUUAUUGAUUUUUUGAAUGUAUAUUUAUUUCUAUAUUAUUAUUUUCACAUAAUUUUCACUUUAUUUAAAUUUCAAAUUCAACUAAAUUUUCCGAUUAAUCCUUCGUAUUUAACAUUAUCUUUUAAUCACCCAUUUUUGGUAUACGGGUCUUAAAUUUAUAACGUUAAUAUGAGCACAUGAUAAUAAUAAGAAAAAGUCAGUAAAACAAAAAUUGGUAAAGAAUCAAUUUGAUUAUGGUUGGUAUAUUAUUUUCUCCACUAUUCAUUAAUAUUAGAUGAUUCGCAUAUUAAAUUGGUUAUCAAUUUCUAUUUUUAUUUCUAACCUCCUUCGUUAUGUUUUAAAUAUAAACCACAUAAAAUGUAAAUACUAAUUUUGGUUCAGAUUCACCUAAAGAAGAAGUAUAAAGUUUGAAAUGUCAUAAGAUAUGGUAGGAAUAGACCUAACAAUCCAUGUUCACAUUGUAAAUCGUUUUUAGGGUACCAAACAUGAAACAUGACUUUAAAAUUUCGUAUAUUACUAAACUGGUCUCAAAACACUCAAUAAAUAUAAAGUUUACCCGCUGAGUUUUGAAGAAUCUAUACAUGUUUAUAUGUGUCGCGUUUCACACAAAUUAAAUUUGAGUGUUAUGUGUUAAAACAUAUAAUUCGUUUUUACAUGAAUACACAUGAAUAAAAAUUUCUAAAAAUCAUACAAAGAGAAGUUAUGUUUUAAUCACGUCGUUUAAGUAGUGUUGUCAAUCUAAUUGUCAUGUCUAUGUGUGAGAUGUGCUUAUGUACACAUGCAUCUCAUGUCAAUACAUGUGCAUAUGCAUAGAUGUGCACAUGUGCUCACGAAUAUUUUUUGAUGAAAAAUAUCUUCUGAUACAAAAAUAAUUAUAUUGAAAUUUCAAGAAAUAUCCCAAAUCUGAUUAAUAAAUAUAAUAACUUGAAAAUUUUUCAUUUUUUUUUCUAAAUUCUAGCAAUAUGUUAAAGAAAGUAUAAGUGAAAUAUAUUAUGCUUGAAGGCAUUUAAAAUAUAUUAUUUAGUUGAGAAACAUUAAUGUUAACAAUUUUUUAAUUUUAGUGGUCAUUUUUUUAGAAUUAUUUUUUAUAAUGAUAAAAAAACACAUUAUACAUUAUCUAAAGGUCAAAUGUCUAAUUUGGAGAUGGUAAUAUUUUGGUAAUAGCCCAAAAGUUUAAUCAUUCCGCUUGUGAUCAUUUUUGUAUUUUUAUAAAAUUACACUUAUUAUUAAGUAUUAUGCAUCCCUAAACAUAUUGUUGUAAUAUGUAGACACAUCAAACUUUUUUAUUUUACUUCGAUGUCUUAAGCGACAUCUGCACAAACUUUAAGGAUGACAAUUCCAAGUACAUUGACAAACACUACCGGAAAUGCAAUGGCCCUUAGCGAGAAGUCCUCUACCACUUCUGCACAACACUUCACAUAUUAUGCCUUUGCAAAAAAAAAUAUUCCAAUUGGCUUGACACUGUUCGCCAUUGAUCAUAUGUGUACCUAUAUCAUAUGAGAGCAAAAUAACAUCAAUUAACAAAUCAAUUAAGAAUCAUCAGAAAACAAGAAUUUGUAGUUUUUGUGGUAAGUCGGCGUAAUGAAAUAUAGCUAAGAUACUACUAUAAUGAGCAAUUUUUAUUAUAUAUCAUAUAAAGAUUACCAACAANUCACAAGAGCAACAUAUAGUUUGAUGGACGCCAUACCUUUUAAUUUACUGAUACUCUAUACAAUGGAAGUGUAUUGACCAAAUGGUUCAAUCAUUGUAAAUUUAUAGGAAGAAGUAAAUUGCGUACAUAUGAUGGAUUAAAACAUGUGCCAUUUAAUUCACAAUAAAUAUAUUUAGUUGGUUGUUGGUAGCCUCCAUUAAUUGUUGAAAUCUUGAAAAAGUAUUUGAUCAC